GGACAGGCCACUUCUGUCUCUGAGAGCAGUGGGGACAUCUGAAGGAGCAGAGACUUCCCAGGGGACUCCCGCAGGAAGCACCUUUCUUUGGGCUCAAGCAGCCAGAAGAGUUGCUCAGAGACCCGAGCUACAUGUCCCUGCCACACUCCCGGGCUCCCCCGUCUCUGGAACUGUCAACGACUUUUUAAUAAUGUUCUACAGACUUAGACAUCCAAUUAAAAUUCCUCAAGGGCAGACACUGGACCUCAUUCAUCUCUGCAUACCAAGAACCUAAUACUGG